rnacentral:misc_RNA from 1 species
AAGUCGUAACAAGGUCUCCGUUGGUGAACCAGCGGAGGGAUCAUUACUGAGUUAUUAAAACUCCAAACCCUUUGUGAACCUUACUGUCGUUGCCUCGGCGUGAGCUACGGCUACCCUGUAGUUACCCUAUAGCUACCUGCAGCUACCCUAUAGUUGACCAGUAGCUACCCUGUAGUUACCCUAUAGCUACCCUGCAGCUACCCUAUAGUUGACAUGUAGCUACUCUGUAGCCGGCUUAUGGCCCGCCGAAGGACCGCUAAACUCUUGUUUUUACCACUGUUUCUCUGAAUUGUAAACUUAAAUAAGUUAAAACUUUCAACAACGGAUCUCUUGGUUCUG